rnacentral:pre_miRNA from 1 species
UACAAUGUUUUGACUCUUAGUGUUAUUUAAAACUUUUUUGUGAUUAAUAUUUUUAUUAUUAGUAGAUGAUAAAACAUGAAUAGUACUUUAUGCUUGACUAAUUUUUUAAAGUUUUUAUACAAAAUUUUCAAAUAAAACGAGUGGUCAAACGUGGAACACGAAAAAAC